UACGUAGGGUGCGAGCGUUGUCCGGAAUUAUUGGGCGUAAAGAGCUCGUAGGCGGUGUGUCGCGUCGGCCGUGAAAACCUGGGGCUCAACUCUGGGCGUGCGGUCGAUACGGGCAUCACUGGAGUUCGGCAGGGGAGACUGGAAUUCCUGGUGUAGCGGUGAAAUGCGCAGAUAUCAGGAGGGAACACCGGUGGCGAAGGCGGGUCACUGGCCCGGAUACUGACGCUGGAGGUGACGAAAGCGUGGGGAGCAAACAGG
rnacentral:rRNA from 1 species